GCAGUGAGUCAGCAGGGGAGAAGUAAAAGAAGUGCUGAGCAGGAGCCAUGGCUCAGCUAGGAUGAAUCUGUGGCAGGCUCAAUCAGCACAGCUUUCUCCAGCGACACUGCUCAGCCCAAAGGAAGCAACUGGGAGUUCAAGGAUGUCUCAUUGAAGAGCUACCCAGCUGAAGGACCUGCGGAAGACAAAGUGGGACUUUGCUACUGCCACUUGAACUUGAAGAUGCCACGAAGUUUCCUAUUCUGUCCUUUGGAGAAGAAAUCUUCAUGAAGAAAGGGAGAUGCUUCUCCUGCCAGACCCUGAGAGGGAGCAGACAUCACUUGUUUAUGGUCCUGAGCCUUCAAUAACAAGCUCUAUUACCAGAGUGGAAAAAAGAAUAGAUCUUUUGUUUGGGGCCAGGGAAGGGACUAUGUCUGCCCCCGCACCUCACCCCCCGACGGGGAAUCCCCAGGGGUCAAAUGCAGGACAGUGGAUUCUGAAAGGAGAGGAUGUUCUCCAGCACAGCAUGCAGGGGAGAAGAUGGUGUGUGAAAUCCAAGGAUGAGCACCAAGAUAGAAGUUAUGAGAAAACCACUCCUAUCAAGGAUCAUCCCAGACUAUGGGUCUGUGCAGUAGAGCAUGGUAACAGAUAACAGUCUCAAAGCACAGAGGGCAUGAGGCACAUGAGUCUUUGUAAGAAAGGAAAUUUCCUGCAAAGAACUUCUGUGGCACUUUAGAGUUCCUCUGAAAAGGGAAGGGAGUAUUCUGAGAGUGUGAUGUUGAAGUUCAAGACCAUUGAAAAGAUCAGAUUUCAGCCAGUUCUGAAAUAACUCAAACUGAAAGCAAAUGACAGUGACUACAUCCCAAGUGUUGCAGAAUCCAUCAUGACUGACACUUUCCAGUCAUGGCUGCCAAGUAAAGACUCUUACAGUCAACAGUUGUCAGGGUGAUCAGUUUCACAAGUGACAACUCUAGAUGUCAAUAAAGUGUGAGGACAAAGUAAAGUAGCAUAUCGUUGACCUGCAGUGUGGAAUAUAACAGUCUGAUGAGGGAUAUGAAAUUCAAGGAAUAGGCUGUAUGUGGUACCCAUUCAGUCAUUUUACUGUAAUUCCCCCUUUUUUCAUUUCAAAUACUGUGCUACACAUUAAGAACACAAAACGUACUUUAUCAGUAGCUAUCAGCUUCAUAGCAUUGAAGAGAAAGAGAUUUAAAAAAAAACAUGUAAAUGCUGUAGGUCAGUUGAGGAAGUUAAAGCAAAGUGGAUAAGUUUAUGAAUUUGAGAGUCAAGUCCAUCUAGAAUUGAAUUAUCCUGUAUUCUUCGGAAAGUCUUAUAAAGCUUUUGAAUCUCAUUUUCUUUAUCAGCGAUACCUGAAUUGCAGUAUAUAAACAUUCACUAGAUGUUAGUUGUUGCUGCUGUUAAAAAUAAAGUAUAUAUUCAUGAGGUGA